UUUUUCAGAGAAUCCUCAAGAGACCCGUCUCUGGGAUGAAUGCAGCCUGUGGGCUGAUAAAGGAAGCUUUAGUGCAUUCAAUUCCUGAGCCCCCGCCCAGCUGUCCUGAGGACAAAGCCUGCAGAAGCCUGAUUGGGAGCACUGAAAGCAUAGUCCUCCGUCUCAUGCCUUUCUGCUGAGAUGUCAGCCUCUGCAGAAGCUGAAGGCCAUCAGAACUUUAGACGGCCUGUCCAAUCAUCUGGAAUUUAGGCUCCACCAGCUGUCUGAAAGUGACCCACAGAUGAUAAGAGCAGGACAAGUCCUUCCUAUCAGGGGCCAGAGGUCUCUCUCAAAGUCUCCUGUGACUCUCCCUCCUCCUCCCUGCCCAUCACCACUACCCCAUGUCAUCCGGCUGAUCCCACUUCAGUUCAGCUCACCACCUGUAAAUACAUCUGGCUUCCUGAAUACACGCAACCUA